GUGUCAGCAGCCGCGGUAAUACGGAAUGUGCAAACGUUAUUCGGAAUCACUGGGCUUAAAGAGUCCGUAGGCGGCAUGUUAGGUGAGGUGUGAAAUCCCCCGGCUCAACCGAGGAAUUGCGCUUCAAACCGGCGUGCUUGAGGAAGAUAGAGGUGGGCGGAACUGAUGGUGGAGCGGUGAAAUGCGUUGAUAUCAUCAGGAACACCGGAGGCGAAGGCGGCCCACUGGGUCUUUUCUGACGCUGAGGGACGAAAGCUAGGGGAGCGAACGGGAUUAGAUACCCCCGUAGUCC
rnacentral:rRNA from 1 species